rnacentral:rRNA from 1 species
CCUACGGGAGGCAGCAGUGGGGGAUAUUGGACAAUGGGGGGAACCCUGAUCCAGCGACGCCGCGUGAGUGAAGAAGUAUCUCGGUAUGUAAAGCCCUAUCAGCCGGGGAGAAGAAAUGACGGUACCUGAGUAAGAAGCCCCGGCUAACUACGGGCCAGCAGCCGCGGUAAUACGUAGGGGGCAAGCGUUAUCCGGAAUUACGGGGUGUAAAGGGAGCGUAGACGGUGAUGUAAGGCUGGAGUGAAAGGCGGGGGCCCAACCCCCGGACUGCUCUGGAAACUAUGUGACUGGAGUGCAGGAGAGGUGAGCGGAAUUCCUAGUGUAGCGGUGAAAUGCGUAGAUAUUAGGAGGAACACCAGUGGCGAAGGCAGCUCGCUGGCCUGUAACUGACGUUGAGGUUCGAAAGCGUGGGGAGCGAACAGGAUUAGAUACCCGUGUAGUC